rnacentral:misc_RNA from 1 species
UGGAAUUGAUUUUCAAAGACCUCACUGAUACUGUGCUGCUAUAAGUUGAAUGCAAAUACAUAGACGUCAAAAGUUCAAAAUUUGAGAGUGGGGACCAAAGGGUACAAACAAGAUAAGAAAGAAUAAACUGGUUUUCGGGUUCUUAGCUCCCCAGAAAGGAAUGACAUUUUUGUAGUUAGCAGUUGAUAUUUUGGCAUUCCCUGGUAGAUCAAAUACCGCUAUUUGGCCACAAAAACUCGAGUGCUGUUAAUGAUCUGGUAUUGUUUAAAAUUGGGCAUGGGGACUUUGGGCCAAUUCGGCUUUGUGCUUCAUGAGGAUUUCUGAGGUUCUUUUCCAAAUAG